rnacentral:rRNA from 1 species
UACGUAGGGUGCAAGCGUUGUCCGGAUUUAUUGGGCGUAAAGAGCUCGUAGGCGGUCUGUCGCGUCGGAUGUGAAAGCCCGGGGCUCAACCCCGGGAGGCGGGCGGAUACUGUCGGGCUAGAGUCCGGAAGAGGCGAGUGGAAUUCCUGGUGUAGCGGUGAAAUGCGCAGAUAUCAGGAGGAACACCGGUGGCGAAGGCGGGUCUCUGGGCCGAUACUGACACUGAGGAGCGAAAGCGUGGGGAGCGAACAGG